rnacentral:rRNA from 1 species
UACGAAGGGGCUAGCGUUGCUCGGAAUCACUGGGCGUAAAGCGCACGUAGGCGGAUUGUUAAGUCAGGGGUGAAAUCCUGGAGCUCAACUCCAGAACUGCCUUUGAUACUGGCGAUCUCGAGUCCGGGAGAGGUGAGUGGAACUGCGAGUGUAGAGGUGAAAUUCGUAGAUAUUCGCAAGAACACCAGUGCGAAGGCGGCUCACUGGCCCGGUAUGACGCUGAGGUGCGAAAGCGUGGGAGCAAGAGGAGUUAA